rnacentral:rRNA from 1 species
GGGGAAUAUUGCACAAUGGGCGAAAGCCUGAUGCAGCAACGCCGCGUGUGUGAAGAAGGCCUUCGGGUUGUAAAGCACUUUCAGCGGGGAGGAAGGCGAUAAGGUUAAUAACCUUGUCGAUUGACGUUACCCGCAGAAGAAGCACCGGCUAACUCCGUGCCAGCAGCCGCGGUAAUACGGAGGGUGCAAGCGUUAAUCGGAAUUACUGGGCGUAAAGCGCACGCAGGCGGUCUGUCAAGGCGGAUGUGAAAUCCCCGGGCUCAACCUGGGAACUGCAUUCGAAACUGGCAGGCUAGAGUCUUGUAGAGGGGGGCAGAAUUCCAGGUGUAGCGGUGAAAUGCGUAGAGAUCUGGAGGAAUACCGGUGGCGAAGGCGGCCCCCUGGACAAAGACUGACGCUCAGGUGCGAAAGCGUGGGGAGCAAAC